CGAUAUGGCCAGAGGCCCCAGCUCGGCAUCGGGGGUCACACUGCACCUCCACCCCCACCUGUUCCUGAGACAGAUCGGGACUGGAAUUUCAUUUAAGAAGGUAAAGCUGUUUUAUUAAGAGACCAGGAGAAUGGCAUGAACUUUCAACAGCAUUUGUAAACACAUGUGAAAUGCAGUUCGAUUUCAGUAGUUUAUUUUGGAGACAAAGCAGUGCAAGAGGCCAGCCACGCUUUCCUGCUUCCCCGGGGCUCAGGGAUGGACUAGGAAAGGCGCUGUACAGACAUUAUAAUCGGGGUUCAACACUCAAGUCGUGUAAACGCAGUUAGUCGGUGGGCCCUCCUUUCCAGGGCAGCCGGGCAGUCCCAACAGCACCUGUCCUCGCCCUAGGCCCAGUGCAGCUUGAGGGCGGCCCCCACCCAGUCCUUCCUUUCCCGAAGGUGGGUGACCCCCACGCCCCUGCUGAGCCGGGCCCGAGGUACCUCUGAGUGCCCAGUUCAGCAGCCUCUCUCGGGCCAUCCUCAUCGGACCGUGCACGACAGCCUGGACGCCUUUCCCACUUUCUCAACGUGAAUGGAUGUCUCAGGACACAA